UACAGAGGGGGCAAGCGUUGUUCGGAAUUACUGGGCGUAAAGGGCGCGUAGGCGGCCUUCUAAGUCGAACGUGAAAUCCCUGGGCUCAACCCAGGAACUGCGUCCGAUACUGGAAGGCUUGAAUCCGGGAGAGGGAUGCGGAAUUCCAGGUGUAGCGGUGAAAUGCGUAGAUAUCUGGAGGAACACCGGUGGCGAAGGCGGCAUCCUGGACCGGUAUUGACGCUGAGGCGCGAAAGCUAGGGGAGCAAAGCGGG
rnacentral:rRNA from 1 species